UGCAGCCAUUCCACCCUGAGCAUGCCCAAUUUCAUCUCAUCUAGGAAGCUAAGUAGGGUUGGGCCCAGCUAGUUCUUGGAUGGGCCAUAAAAUGUAAGUGUGUGUGUAUGUGUGU
rnacentral:rRNA from 1 species